GACUUAACAAAGUUUGCAACACAGCUGAAAAAAACCCCUCAUUAUAACACAAUUCAGCUGCUCACAGCAGAUGUUGGAUCCGCCCACAGCUUUAAGGGGAGGCAGGGCUAGAAGCAAGCACAACGUUGACUGCAGACAAUUAAUGUGGAGAGCAGUAGCCUAGAGCUAAGCCUUUGUGUUGAGACAAAUGGAGCAAGGGGUGGUAUACUGCACCCUGUGUUAUCCACCCUACGAUCCCUGCAUCUGGGCGUACAGAACAUAGUAUUGGAAUUGUCCAUCCUUCCAGGACUGCCACAAUCUUCAUACAAUGGCCAUCACGUUUAACUGAAAAGAGGUUAAAACCCUCAGAGAUGCAGACUGCCGCUCUUUAGGGGUAUUUCCUUCCUGGCAACAUGAUCGAUAAACCAUUAGGUAACUCUGAUGACUGUGCAAAAAUCAGCCUUUUUCCUCCUCCUCUCUCCCAGCGUUGCUUCCUGAAUGCUAAGAAGAGGUUAAGGAAGAGCACUGAAUGCUGCGGGUUGCCACCACUGUGCAGUGUGGGCAGUCAGUUCACAGGGGAGCCUAUGGGGCAGGAACACCCAUGGAAAACGUGGACAAAAAAAGCCCACAGUGCUCCUGCUGUGAUGAAGGGGAUGGAGACUGGCUGUUGCUCCUUGAAGACCACCAGAGCAGGGAGCUUCCUCCUCGCUUGAAGCGUCUAAGAGCUCUGCAAGGCGCUGGGAGAAAACCAGCCUCCAUCACCAACUUCAGGGGUUGGAAAAUAAUUGGAAAAGAAUCCCCCAUGUAUUUUUUCUUCUAUGACUCAUGAAUUUCAGUGGGGUCCCUCAGCGCACAUCUCUCCAUGGGGUCACAGUGCCUUGUGGCAGGCAGCUGUGUCCAGUCGGGACCCAGUUCUAGGGGAGAGCGGUGACAGUGUGACCGCAGGGAGCAGCGGUAUGCAGCCCGAGAAGGGCUCCUCGGCUGCUUUCUGCUUGUUUUCAUUACUUCCAAAUGAAUGCACAGCCUUUAUUGAAAGUCGCUUGUUUUCAGUGCAGCUUCCUUUUGAGGCAGGUGUGACAGUCAGCAUUGCUCUGGGCCUUACACCAUGCUCAGUUCUCCAGGCUUCCGGCUGCAGCUCCUCAAGUCAAAACCCACACAGACAACAUAGAUGUUCCUGUGGGCUUUCUAUGUCCGGCGAGGGUCAGCUGUGGGUUAGGGAAAGGCUGUGCCCCAGAGGGCAGUGGGCAUGGAACAGCCUGCCCAGGGCAGUGGGCAUGGCCCCAGUGCUGAGGCUCAGGGAGUGCUGGGAUGCCGCUCUCAGACAUAGGGUACGUGGGGCUGAAAGGCCCUGCCAGCCCACAGCAGGCCGCGGCCCUGUGCCCGCUGUGGCUUGACUCAAAGCAUUCCAGAGAGGAAUAAAUACAGGUUAAGUACUAAAAUCCUACUGAAACCGCGCAGGAGCUGAGUGCUCAGUUCCCUCAAGAUUUUUUAGGCAGGUGGAAUAUAUCUAUCUAAGCCAAGGAAAAGGACACCAGGCUUCCAACUCUAGCUCUGCUUAAGGUCUGUUACUGCAAAUAACCUUUUACAAAGUGGAGUUGAGAACCUGAUUAAUUCUGCUUGCCAUUCAAGCUUGCAUUAAAUAAGACGUGUAACUUCAGACAGAAAGCCAGCCAUUCUUCUGUUCUAACAGUCUGCUGUCAACGCAGGACAAUAAAAUAUGAAUAUUUUAGAUUCAUAGUGCAGACAAAUAGGAAAUAGGAGCUGUAUUGUGCUUCACAUGCAUGGCUAGCUCAGUAAUGCUAACGUGAUUAUCUCAUUGAACUUUUGUGCCAUCGCUUAAGGGCAGCUUUGUCUUGCUUAGCUGGGAUGUACAUAUUUGUUUCUUCCAUGCAUAGCUCCAUAGUCUUUUUUAAGCUUGUGGAAAUGGGAAAAUCUGAUUUUCCUCCUCAGCCACAAGGUAGCAUCAUUCCUUGGCAUUGCUUGGACCAGUACGUCUUAAGUGCAAUUUUUACAGGUUCCUACCAAAAUAUUUUAAUGUCUGCAGCUAGAUUUCCAGACAGAAACAUGGGAAAAUCACACCAGAAUUUAAAAUAUGAAUUAUAGCGUGGCUCACUCUCUGUAACAGAGAGACAAGGAGGGUAAUCAAAACAUGAAAUAUUCUGAUUCAUUCCUCUCCCUAAGCAGAAAAAAAAUGUUUUCAGGAUUAGUGGGGGUUUGGUCUAGAUGGGCUGCCAUUUGGUUAUUCAGCUGUGAGAUUCAUUACCUGGGCAGGCUGGCUUUGCCAGCCCUGAGAUCACAGCAAUAGCAUGCACCUGACGUGGGGUGGCAAAAAAAGCUGGGUGAAUUCAACUCUAAUGAAAACAUCUUGCCACACUGACCCAAAAAACCAUCAAUCUGAGUACUUAGUUCCCUUUUUAAUAUCUAAAUCCUUUUAUUUUCUCUGUGCUGGAUUUGUUUUAUAUUUCCCUUUUAAGUUAGCACUUUGUGUGGGGGUGGAUGAUACGAAGACCAGUUUUGAUGGAAAGCAGAUUGAGCCUUGAAGACUUUCAUCACUGCAUUAUAGCUCUGCUCCCUCCACCCCUCACUGAUAUCCCUCCAUUUACAUGAGUAUUGGACAGGACUUAGGAAUCAGCCCUGACUUGGCCAGUUUUAUUGGGUUUAUGUGGCAAUGUUUUGGUAGCAGGAGGCUGCAGGUGUGGCUUGUGUGAAUAGGCCAAGACCUGCCCCAUCUUAGAUCAAAGCCAGUUCCAACCAGCUCUAAAAGUGACUGACUGCUGCCCACAGCUGAGCCAAUUGGUGAUGCUGGUGGCACCUCAGCGAUAACACACUUAAGAAAGGGUAAAAUACAUUCUGCAGCAGUUGUGAGAGAGAGGAAUGAGAAAAUGUGAGAGAAAACUCUGCAGACACCAAGGUUAGGGAAGAAGGAGGGGGAAGAGGUUCUCUAGGCACUGGAGCACGCAUUUCUUGACAGCCCAUGAAGAGGACCAUGGUGAUGGAAGCAGACCAUGGAGGAACCCAUGCCACAGCAGGUGGAUAUCCUGAAGGAAGCUGAAGCCAGCCAACACAGGAGCAGGCUGGAGCUGUAUCCAUGCAGAAGGGACCAUGCUGGAGCAGUCUCCUGUUUAUGGAUGGUACCUUGCACAGAGGACCCGUGCUGUAGCAGUUCUUGAAGGAUUGCUUCCCAUGGGAAGGACCCCAUUCUGGAGCAGGGGAAGAGUGUGAGGAGGAAGGAGUGACAGAUGUGGACUGCUGGAACUGACAGA
ensembl:lncRNA